AGGAAUUGAACUGGGAAUUAUUUAUUUAGGUUCAUAUAGUAGGGGAGUUUAGAGAAUAAUGGCUUGAUUCCUCAAAUGAACAGUUAAGAGCAAUAGAGCCAGAUAUAGGUCUCAGUUUCCCAUCAUGCUGGCCUCUGGAAAUUUAAAUAAAGCAAGCCAAAAAGGUAAAAAAUACCAAAAGUUGAAAAUUCCUCUAACUUAUUUCUUAAUUUUUGAAGGCAGCAGGCAGCAGCCAAAACAUACCACACAUCUACAGUGAGACGCUUACCACAACAAUUCUGUGAAAAAGGUGUGGAUGUUCCUAUUUCACAGAAAAGGAAAUAAAAGCUCAGAGGAACUAAAGAAUUUUCUACACGUCACCUGUUGGAAAGAUAUAUAAUAAUUCAAGUGCAAAUCCUGUGUCAACUUGUGGAAGACAAAAGCAUAUAAGACAUGGCUGUUGACCUAGUAAAGCUCACGGUAUCAUGGUAUACAAACAGGAGUAGAAAUGGCUGUAAUUCAAAGCCUUGGCUUACAGCAAAGAUGAAAGUCAGUUAAAAGGAAUAAAUCAUGCACCAAAACUUAAUGUUAAGUGUAUUAUUUAGAUUCCCUUAAAUAUUUCGUCUUUGGUAAAAUUUGCAGUUUCUACUGUUUCAUUCUUUUAAGUUUUAAACAAAAACUACAAACGGUCACAUAGAAUGACAGAAUUGACAUAACCCAGAUUUAAUUUCUUUUGUUUAUAUUCAUUGUGUUAUUAUUUAUUAUUUAUUUUGAAUCUACUUUUUAAUAUGUAGUAUCACAGGGGUUUGAGACAGGAACUGCAGAGGUUGGUUGAGCCCUUCUCAACCAUUGAAAAUUUACUAUUGCAGAAGAUGCAUGACUCAGAGUCUGCAUGUGUUGGAGAAGCCAGGAGGGAACUAUUGUAUAAUUAGUAUUUGUAGUAACAUCUUUGUUGAGUACAAUGCUUAUUAAAUACUAAGCAAAAAUCAUGUUGUAAGUCAAAGCUCAUGUAUUAAUAUAAUUAAUAGUUACCACAGCAUUUUUUUACAACUUAGAGGGGAAAAUGCCCCAUGUCCUCUUACUGGCAGAAAAGGUCACCUCUAACCACUAAGUCGGUUGGAGAGUUAUAUUCUCUUACUGCCAACACUGGGAAUGUGGAGUGCUCCAAUUUCCCACACUUGGUAUGCCACUCAAUCUACUUAUGCUGAUAACUAUCUAUGUAUUGUUGUGAAUUGGAUUUAUAGACUAGACUGCUGUUAUAUAAACUGUAAUGAUGUCCCAAAAGACAAGAUUAUUUUAGUGUAGUGCAUAGGAUCAGACAAGAAUGCAGCUAUAAUAACGCCAGAAGAACACAAGUUUAGCAAAUUGAACUCAAGGAACCCCUAGUAUUUCUUAGAAGUAGCUCAGUCUCUGGAAAAAGAACUAUCCAGUCUAAAUAUUUUAGUAAUUUGAAAAUACUGAAAAAAUCAUUUAUACAUUUUACUUUGUAUAACACGAAUUUCACAAGCUUCUUUAUGUGCUGAAAGAUUGCAAAAUAUUACUCUAUAAAAAAACUUAAAAUGUUGUUAACCAAGGCACCGAGGGCACCUAGUGACGCUUUACAUGAAUCAUAGUAAAAGUGUCCAGGAGGGGAAGAUAUUAUCUAUUAUGGACUGAAUUGUAUCUCCCCCAAAAUAUAAAUGUUAAAACCCUAACCUCCAAUAUGACUAAAUCUGAAAAUAAGAUCUUUAAGUAUUUAUGGAAUUAAGGUUAAAAGACAUCAUAAGAGUGGGACCAUAAUCCAAGAGCUGGUGUCCAUAUAAGAAGAGAUACACACCCUCUUUUUCCUCUCUCUCCCCACCCAACUCUGCAUGUACAGAGAGGAAGGACAUGUGAGCAUACAAAGAGAAGGCAGCCAUCCACAAGCCAGGAAGAGAGGCUUCACCAGAAAUAAACCUUGAUGACACCUUAAUUUUGGACUUUGAAAGGCUCCCAAAUGAUGAGAAAACAAAUUUAUGUUGUUUAAGCAGCUAUGAUGUGGCAUUUGUUAUGGUGUCCAAGCUGACUAAUACAUCAUCUUAAAUGUAAUACCCGCAAUUGUACCAUAAAUUAUAAUAAUUGAAGCUACUUCCAAAACUUGUGAAAACGGAACCAUAUAUCCAUGAAGCAUAUUUACUUCAUGUAUCUGCCCUUAGAACUAUGUCACAUAUUUGAAGAGUAACCAGACUUCAAGUCUAACUGUAUUCAGAACUCAUGAAUUAUUUGCAUUACCCAAUAAAAUCAAAUUAUUCAUUUGACAUUAGGAUAUUAAUAUUUCCCAGAUUACUGUAAACCUUUCAAAUUUCAUAACUUUUAUUUUAUAAUUAUGAUGCUUGAAGAGACAGUAUUUGUUUAUGGAUAAGAAAUCUGGGAUCCAGGGGGAAAUAAAAAAGAAAUAUCACACUCCUCAUAGUAGUGGGGAGAAGGCUAAAAUCCAGGUUUUCUAAUUCCCUGUCUAUCUUUAUUUGUUCUACAUCAAACUAUCUUUUAACUCUUACCAAUAUAAUCCUUUUUUUAGACAGCACAGGAAUUUCAAUAUUCCCAGACAAGCCAUGUUGAUUCAUGUUCCAAAAUGCUAUUUAUAAUAAUAAUAAUAAUCAUCAUCAUAACAAAUGCUCAUGUAGUACUUAUUAUGUGCUGGCACUUUUCUAAGUGCUUGACAUUUAUUAACUUAUUAACUUCAUUAACUUUUGAAAUAAGUACUAUUCUCAUCUUACAAAUGACAAAAUUAAAAUGCAGAAAGAAAAAUGUUAAAUUGCUUAAAAUCACACAAAUGGAAAGUGAAGUCUGAAGUCAUAACAUUGAGAACAUAAUAAGAUUGGCUAGAAGUGAAAAAAAUCGACAUGUCUCUAUAGAAUGAGAAAAGAAAUUCACUUUUUUCACAUUAGAGAAAUUGCGGCAGCCCAGUAAUAAUCUAGAGAAACUGCCAAAGAUAGGCAUAGGACUUAGAGAAAGUUCCAAGCAAUGUGGUGGAUACUGACCCUCAAAGAAGAAACAAUCGUUAAAAAUUUCCUAGAUCAAGAUAUGAUGUAGGAAGUGUCAACAGAUGUCCUAAUAUACAAAUAAAAUAUUGCUACUCUAUGUUAUUCUAAAUAUUAUAUAUGUCUGUCUGCAAUAUGUUUUGUAUGUUAUUCUACCC
rnacentral:lncRNA from 1 species